UUUGACGUUUCUGAGUAAAAG
rnacentral:piRNA from 1 species